rnacentral:rRNA from 1 species
ACGCUCGACACCUACGGAAGGCAGCAGUGGGGAAUAUUGGGCAAUGGGCGCAAGCCUGACCCAGCAACGCCGCGUGAGUGAUGAAGGUCUUCGGAUUGUAAAACUCUUUAAGCAGGGAAGAAGAAAGUGACGGUACCUGCAGAAUAAGCAUCGGCUAACUACGUGCCAGCAGCUGCGGUAAUCUGAGCGGGCUGGCAAGGC